rnacentral:tRNA from 1 species
UGGCCUAUUGUGUAAUUGGUAGCACAGCGGAUUCUGGUUCCGUCAGUGAGGGUUCAAGUCCUUCUAGGCCAG